ensembl:lncRNA
AAGAGACUAGAACACCCAAGGCCGCUUUCCUUUUAUGGAGUUGUUUUUCUGCUAAUGCAGCACUGUCCUCACAACCCCCUCCUGUAAGUUUUAGAGAAUAUAUACCCAUCCUCACAGCAAAUAUUUGGAAUCUCUUGAUGUGAGCUGCGUUGAGAGUUUGUCUCUGUCUCAAUAAAAGUUCACUGAUUCCCCAUCUGCAGCAGGUGUCCGGUUGUCUUCAUUCUCCGCCAGCCUGGUUAAGUCAAUUCCUCCUUAACAUCUAAAAGAACCUAUUUAAUGAAGGAAGACGGGUUCACUUUGUGUUUAAUAUUAUUCUAUUGCUGUUGUUGUUUUUUUUGUAUCCUUCAAUUGGCGUCACGAACAGGAUCCGCUCCAGGUCAAACUGGAACGGGAGGGAGGACAUCGGCCGUGGUCUGAGUGAACGGAGUUUGGACAAAAGCUGUGUACACACAAAAAACAAGUGUCUUCAUACAGGUGUUUUUUCUUAACCUGGAAGCCUGAGUACGGCAGCAGAAGACAGGCCAAGCUUUGGCUAAAAUUCACGGCUGGACACCAGAGUUGUCCUCACCCCUCCCGGUAAAACAAAAAAGAGAGAAUGUAGUUUGAGGCGGGUUUUUCUUGCUGAACCGCUCUGGGUGCUGUGUCCCUGAAUCUCACCGGUGUUAACCUCUGGCGGAAGACAUGGAGAAAAGGAAAAGAUGUUCCUGAGCCGAAGCUGACCUGGACUCCUACCCUCCCCUCUACCAUCGUUGCCCUCUCCGCGACCAUCUUUGACCCUUUGACCCCUGAAGGCCACAGCAGCUGGACUCACAACAACAACUUGAGGAUGUCAACAGUGCUGCAAAAGAGUGAUCUCAUGCAGCAGAGACGGAGAGCACUAAACCUAAAGCCCGUUUCACUACACGGGGGAAAUUCCCAGGCUGCGUCAGCUGACAGAGCUGUGACGAGACGCGCAUUAAGCCCGGAGGAAAAGGGACGGUGAGCAGAAGGAUGCUGACCUCUGAGAAGAGCCGAACAGCAGAGCUGCAGAAGGCCGUGGAGCAAAGUAAGGAAGAUGCAGGCAGCUGCAACAACGGAUGAAAACAGACCCAAAGAGGAGGGGAGGACCCUAGGCCAUGCGUCAGGCCGCUGGUUUACCUAAACUACAGAACAGAAAGGACAGCUGUUACUGCUUUCAUCGGGAACCGAGACUGCUUGCAGCCGACCCCUGGGCAGGGUGGUGCCUGGACUCUUUUCUCCUCAUCUGCAAUGACAGAUAAAGACAAAUGAAAAGACCCGAGGAGUUUUUCGAGCCAGGCUUCGACACGUCUCUGUGUUCCUUUGAUUGUUACUUAUUUUUGUGUGUUGACCCAUUUAAGAUGGGUCAAAAGGGGGAUUUGAAGAAAAUAUAAUCUGAUCAAACAUUAUUCAGCUUUAAAUAUUGUUCAGCUUUAAACAUUAUUCAGCUUUAAAUAUUAUUCAGCUUUAAAUAUUGUUCAGCUUUAAAGUUACUGUGCAACUGUGUAAUAAAAAUGUGCUCACGACUUUGGCCUUGAGAGCGAUAAGAAGCGAUCGCCUCAUCCUGCAGGUGAAAGAUAUCUGCAAGCGAAGAGACUAGAACACCCAAGGCCGCUUUCCUUUUAUGGAGUUGUUUUUCUGCUAAUGCAGCACUGUCCUCACAACCCCCUCCUGUAAGUUUUAGAGAAUAUAUACCCAUCCUCACAGCAAAUAUUUGGAAUCUCUUGAUGUGAGCUGCGUUGAGAGUUUGUCUCUGUCUCAAUAAAAGUUCACUGAUUCCCCAUCUGCAGCAGGUGUCCGGUUGUCUUCAUUCUCCGCCAGCCUGGUUAAGUCAAUUCCUCCUUAACAUCUAAAAGAACCUAUUUAAUGAAGGAAGACGGGUUCACUUUGUGUUUAAUAUUAUUCUAUUGCUGUUGUUGUUUUUUUUGUAUCCUUCAGCAUGUA